rnacentral:rRNA from 1 species
GACGAACGCUGGCGGCGUGCUUAACACAUGCAAGUCGAACGGAAAGGCCCGGCUUUUGUGGGGUGCUCGAGUGGCGAACGGGUGAGGAACACGUGAGUAACCUGCCCUUGACUUUGGGAUAACUUCAGGAAACUGGGGCUAAUACCGGAUAGGAGCUCCUGCUGCUUGGUGGGGGUUGGAAAGAUUCGGCGGUUGGGGGUGGACUCGCGGCACAUCGGCUAGUUGGUGGGGUUGUGGCAUACCAAGGCUUUGACAGGUAGCCGGCCUGAGAGGGGGACCGGCCACAUUGGGACUGAGAUGAGGCCCAGACUACUACGGGAGGCAGCAGUGGAGAAUAUUGCACAACGGGCGGAAGCCUGGUGCAGCAACGCCGCGUGCGGGAUAACGGCCUUCUGUUAGUAAACCGCUUUCGCCUGUGACGAGGCGUGAGUGACGGUAACGGGUAAAGAAGCCCCGGCUAACUACGUG